UAGAAGUACAGCAUAUGACAAAUCUGCUGUCACAUGGCUGACCUGGUGGAAGUGUUCAUCUCAGUGGUAACUGCAAAAGACCUGUAACUCUUCACAAAAUAUCUUUAACCUGAGCAGAAUGUGCUUGUGCUCCACUGAUGGGUGAAGAGCAUCAGUCAGCAGGCUGCUGGAGACCCCUCAAAUGGAACAGAUACCAACAAGGUCGAAAGCAAGUAAAACUCUUGGAAUCUGUUGUGAUUAAACAUAGCUUUGGCAGUGCCUGUGUUUUAAAAGAAUGGGGUUUGGCUGGUGUUUUGUUCUGCCAGUGACUGGAGAAAAACCCUUUACCAAAAGUUUUAACGAAAUCAGUAUGUCUGUGAAACUUGCCGACUUCUCAUCCGUCAGUGAUGUGACAGAUCUCUCAAAAAUAAACCAGUAUAAUAAAUUAACUGCAAGGGUAGGUGCAUGUAACAAACUUUGAAAAUAUUUCUUUGGGAUUAUGGAGGAAAACAGAAUGCAAAACAAAGUCACCUAAGGUCUGAGGUUGUCAUGCUAUCAAGAUUUCGCCUGGGAAAGACGUGCUCCUUAUUGCAAGAUGACAUCUAAGGCUAUGGAGUCACUGUAGCUGCCAUAUGAAGUUGGACAAUUAAUUAGGAACAGCGUAUUUUGUUGUAAAUGGCAAAUAUUCAAAGAAAUGUUGUCGCAAGAAUGAAUAUGUCUUUGCAAAUAAAUCAACAGUGUCUGCAGGGUGAUUAAAGUAUCUCGUGGAGGGAAAGGAAAGCGUGGUGU